rnacentral:misc_RNA from 1 species
GAUGAAGAACGUAGCGAAAUGCGAUAAGUAAUGUGAAUUGCAGAAUUCAGUGAAUCAUCGAAUCUUUUAACGCACAUUGCGCCCGCUAGUAUUCUGGCGGGCAUGCCUGUUCGAGCGUCAUUUCAACCAUCAAGCCCCUUAGCUUGUGUUGGGGACCUGCGGCUGCCGCAGCCCCCGAAAUGCAGUGGCGGGCUCGUUGUCACACCGAGUGCAGUAAUCAUUCUUCUCUCCGGGCGUGGCGGCGGGUUCCGGCCGUAAAAUCACCAAUUUAUCAAGGUUGACCUCGGAUCAGGUAGGAAUACCCGCUGAACUUAAGCAUAUCAAUAAGCGGAGGA